rnacentral:tRNA from 1 species
GGGCCGGUAGCUCAGCCUGGUUAGAGCGCACGCCUGAUAAGCGUGAGGUCGGAAGUUCAAGUCUUCCUCGGCCCA